rnacentral:rRNA from 1 species
UACGUAGGCAGCGAGCGUUGUUCGGAGUUACUGGGCGUAAAGCGUGCGUAGGCGGUGUCUUAAGUUUGUUGUGAAAUCUCCCGGCUUAACCGGGAGGGUGCGGCGAAUACUGAGAUGCUGGAGUGCCGGAGAGGUAAGCGGAAUUCUUGGUGUAGCGGUGAAAUGCGUAGAUAUCAGGAGGAACACCUGCGGUGUAGACGGCUUACUGGACGGUAACUGACGCUGAGGCACGAAAGCGUGGGUAGCAAACAGG